CGAACGGGUGAGUAACACGUGGGCAACCUGCCCAAAANAGGGGGAGUAACACUUGGAAACAGGUGCUAAUACCGCAUAACCAUAGUUACCGCAUGGUAGCUAUGUAAAAGGUGGCUAUGCUACCGCUUUUGGAUGGGCCCGCGGCGCAUUAGCUAGUUGGUGGGGUAAAGGCUUACCAAGGCAAUGAUGCGUAGCCGAACUGAGAGGUUGAUCGGCCACAUUGGGACUGAGACACGGCCCAAACUCCUACGGAAGGCAGCAG
rnacentral:rRNA from 1 species